GAUGCCUAUCCAUAAAGCCGGG
rnacentral:rRNA from 1 species